rnacentral:rRNA from 1 species
CCUACGGGAGGCAGCAGUGAGGAAUAUUGGUCAAUGGGCGGAAGCCUGAACCAGCCAAGUAGCGUGCGGGAUGAAGGCCCUACGGGUCGUAAACCGCUUUUGCACGGGGAUAACACCCUCCACUUGUGGAGGUCUGCAGGUACCGUGCGAAUAAGGGCCGGCUAAUUCCGUGCCAGCAGCCGCGGUAAUACGGAAGGCCCGAGCGUUAUCCGGAUUCAUUGGGCUUAACGAGUUCGUAGGUGGCAUAUUAAGUCUGGUGUUAAAUGCAGAAGCUCAACUUCUGUUCGGCACGGGAUACUGGUAAGCUUGAAUGCGGUAGAGGUAAAGGGAAUUCCUGGUGUAGCGGUGAAAUGCGUAGAUAGCAGGAGGAACAUCGGUGGCGUAAGCGCUUUACUGGGCCGUAAUUGACACUGAGGAACGAAAGCCGGGGUAGCAAAUGGGAUUAGAUACCCUUGUAGUC